AUACGGAGGGUGCGAGCGUUAAUCGGAAUUACUAGGCGUAAAGCGCGCGUAGGCGGUCUAUUAAGUCAGAUGUGAAAUCCCAGGGCUCAACCUUGGAACUGCAUCUGAUACUGGUAGUCUAGAGUUUUGGAGAGGGAAGUAGAAUUUCAGGUGUAGCGGUGAAAUGCAUAGAGAUCUGAAGGAAUUCCAGUGGCGAAGGCGACUUCCUGGCCAAAAACUGACGCUGAGGUGCGAAAGCGUGGGUAGCAAACGGGAUUAGAAACCCCAGUAGUCC
rnacentral:rRNA from 1 species